rnacentral:rRNA from 1 species
GACGUACCGCAACCGACACCGAUAGAUGAUAUGAGUAUUCUAAGGCGCGUGAAAGAACUCUGGGUAAGGAACUCUGCAAACUAGCACCGUAAGUUCGCGAUAAGGUGUGCCACAGCGAUGUGGUCUCAGCAAAGAGUCCCUCCCGACUGUUUACCAAAAACACAGCACUUUGCCAACUCGUAAGAGGAAGUAUAAGGUGUGACGCCUGCCCGGUGCUCGAAGGUUAAGAGGAUGCGUCAGUCGCAAGAUGAAGCGUUGAAUUGAAGCCCGAGUAAACGGCGGCCGUAACUAUAACGGUCCUAAGGUAGCGAAAUUCCUUGUCGGUUAAAUACCGACCUGCAUGAAUGGCGUAACGAGAUGGGAGCUGUCUCAACCAGAGAUUCAGUGAAAUUGUAGUGGAGGUGAAAAUUCCUCCUACCCGCGGCAAGACGGAAAGACCCCGUGGACCUUUACUACAACUUAGCACUGCUAAUGGGAAUAUCAUGCGCAGGAUAGGUGGGAGGCUUUGAAGUAAGGGCUUUGGCUCUUAUGGAGCCAUCCUUGAGAUACCACCCUUGAUGUUUCUGUUAGCUAACUGGAGUGUGUUAUCCACAGGCAGGACAAUGCUUGGUGGGUAGUAAGAGU